UGAAAGUCAAGAAAAAUGAAGACUGAAGUGU
rnacentral:piRNA from 1 species